UGAGUACGAGACGCUAAGGCGUUGAAGCAGUGUAUGUCAGACUUCCAAGAAAAGCUCGCAAUGUCAUAAACAUAAGAUGCCUGUACCAUAACCGACACAGGUGGGUAGGUAGAGUAUACUAAGGGGCGCGAGAUAACUCUCUCUAAGGAACUCGGCAAAAUGACUCCGUAACUUCGGGAGAAGGAGUGCCUUAUUUCAUAAGGUUGCAAUAACAAGAUCCAAUCAACCGUUUACCAAAAACACAGGUCUCCGCUAAGUCGUAAGACGAUGUAUGGGGGCUGACGCCUGCCCAGUGCCAGAAGGUUAAAGAAGUUGGUUAGCCUAGCGAAGCUGAUGACUGAAGCCCUGGUGAACGGCGGCCGUAACGAUAACGGUCCUAAGGUAGCGAAAUUCCUUGUCGGGUAAGUUCCGACCCGCACGAAAGGCGUAAUGAUUUGGAUACUGUCUCGGAGAGGGGCUCGGUGAAAUAGACUUGUCUGUGAAGAUGCGGACUACCUGCACCUGGACAGAAAGACCCUAUGAAGCUUUACUGUAACUUGAGAUUGAAAUUGGACUUUAUUUGCGCAGUAUAGGUGGGAGACGUUGAGAAUACUCUUGCGGGAGUAUUGGAGUCAUCAGUGAGAUACCACUCUUGUAAUGUUAGAUUUCUAACUUUGGAUCAUUAUCUGGUCAAAGGACAGUUUCAGGCGGGCAGUUUGACUGGGGCGGUCGCCUCCCAAACGGUAACGGAGGCGCACAAAGGUUUCCUCUGAACGUGUAGAAAUCGUAUCUAGAGUGUAAAGGCAUAAGGAAGCUUGACUGUGAGACCUACAAGUCGAGCAGGGACGAAAGUCGGUCUUAGUGAUCUGACGGUGCUGAGUGGAAAGGCCGUCACUCAACGGAUAAAAGUUACUCUAAGGAUAACAGGCUGAUCUCCCCCAAGAGUUCACAUCGACGGGGAGGUUUGGCACCUCGAUGUCGGCUCAUCGCAUCCUGGGGCGGUAGUACGUCCCAAGGGUUGGGCUGUUCGCCCAUGAAAGCGGUACGCGAGCUGGGUUCAGAACGUCGUGAGACAGUUCGGUCCAUAUCCGGUGUAGGCGUUAGAAUAUUGAGAGGAGCCUUCUUUAGUACGAGAGGACCGAGAAGGACAUACCUCUGGUGUACCAGUUAUCGUGCCAACGGUAAACGCUGGGUAGCUAUGUAUGGAGUGGAUAACCGCUGAAAGCAUCUAAGUGGGAAGCCCACCUCAAGAUAAG
rnacentral:rRNA from 1 species